UGAGGAACAUGACCUUCGGCGGGGGAUAGCCGGCCCAACGGCCGGGUAAUACCGCGUACGACCACAUGGGGACAUCCCUGAGUGGUGAAAGCAGCAAUGCGCCGAUGGAGUGCCUCGCGGCCUAUCAGCUAGUUGGUGAGGUAACGGCUCACCAAGGCAACGAUGCGUAGCCGACCUGAGAGGGUGAUCGGCCACAUUGGAACUGAGACACGGUCCAGACCUCGUACGGGAGG
rnacentral:rRNA from 1 species